rnacentral:rRNA from 1 species
UCACUCCUGCGGGAGGCAGCAGUGGGGAAUUUUGGACAAUGGGCGAAAGCCUGAUCCAGCAAUGCCGCGUGUGUGAAGAAGGCCUUCGGGUUGUAAAGCACUUUUGUCCGGAAAGAAAUCCUUGGCUCUAAUACAGUCGGGGGAUGACGGUACCGGAAGAAUAAGCACCGGCUAACUACGUGCCAGCAGCCGCGGUAAUACGUAGGGUGCGAGCGUUAAUCGGAAUUACUGGGCGUAAAGCGUGCGCAGGCGGUUUGCUAAGACCGAUGUGGAAUCCCCGGGCUCAACCUGGGAACUGCAUUGGUGACUGGCAGGCUAGAGUAUGGCAGAGGGGGGUAGAAUUCCACGUGUAGCAGUGAAAUGCGUAGAGAUGUGGAGGAAUACCGAUGGCGAAGGCAGCCCCCUGGGCCAAUACUGACGCUCAUGCACGAAAGCGUGGGGAGCAAACAGGAUUAGAUACCCCGGGUAGUCCCAU